rnacentral:rRNA from 1 species
AAUCAACGCUGGCGGCGUGCCUCAGACAUGCAAGUCGAACGCGAAAUUUCCCUUCGGGGAGAAAGUAGAGUGGCGCACGGGUGAGUAACACGUAGGUAAUUUGCCUUUGGGUGGGGAAUAACUCAGGAAACUUGAGCUAAUACCGCAUAAUGCAGCGGCUCGACAUCGAGACAGUUGUUAAAGCGGGGGAUUGGAGCAAUCCGACCUCGCGCCUAAAGAGAAGCCUGCGGCAGAUUAGCUAGUUGGUAAGGUAAUGGCUUACCAAGGCGACGAUCUGUAACCGGCCUGAGAGGGCGGUCGGUCACACUGACACUGACAUACGGUCAGAACUCCUAACGGGAGCAGCAGUCGGGAAUUUUGGGCAAUGGGCG